rnacentral:rRNA from 1 species
UGGGAAUUUGGAUCAAUGGGCGCAAGCCUGAUCCAGCCAUGCCGCGUGCGGGAAGAAGGCCUUCGGGUUGUAAACCGCUUUUGUCAGGGAAGAAAUCUUCUGAGUUAAUACCUCGGGAGGAUGACGGUACCUGAAGAAUAAGCACCGGCUAACUACGUGCCAGCAGCCGCGGUAAUACGUAGGGUGCAAGCGUUAAUCGGAAUUACUGGGCGUAAAGCGUGCGCAGGCGGUUUUGUAAGACAGAGGUGAAAUCCCGCGUCAACCUGGGAACUGCCUUUGUGACUGCAAGGCUUGAGUGCGGCAGAGGGGAUGGAAUUCCAUGCGUGUAGCAGUGAAAUGCGUAGAUAUGCGGAGGAACACCGAUGGCGAA